UACGUAGGGGGCGAGCGUUGUCCGGAUUUAUUGGGCGUAAAGAGCUCGUAGGCGGCUUGGCAAGUCGGGUGUGAAACCUCCAGCUCAACCUGGAGACGCCACUCGAUACUGCCAUGGCUAGAGUCCGGUAGGGGACCACGGAAUUCCUGGUGUAGCGGUGAAAUGCGCAGAGUAUCAGGAGGAACACCGGUGGCGAAGGCGGCUUCCUGGCCGAGUACUGACGCUGAGGCACGAAAGCGUGGGGAGCGAACGGG
rnacentral:rRNA from 1 species